rnacentral:snRNA from 1 species
CUACUUACCUAGCAGGAGAGAAAUAAAGAUCCUGAAGGUGGUUUUCCCUAGGGUAAAACCUAUCCAUUCCACUCUGGAUGUGCAAUUUCUCCAAGCAUGGGAAAAUCUCCUGCCUAAUUUGUGGUAGUGGGAGACUAUAUUUGUGUUCUCCCA